rnacentral:rRNA from 1 species
GUCUACGGCCAUGCUACCCUGAACAAGCCCGAUCCCGUCUGAUCUCAGAAGCUAACCAGUGUUGGGCCUGGUUAGUACUUGGAUGGGAGACCAUCUAGGAUCACCAGGUGCUGUAGGCA